UACGGAGGGUGCGAGCGUUGUCCGGAAUCACUGGGCGUAAAGGGCGCGUAGGCGGUGCGAGAAGCGUGUGGUGAGAGGCCGGGGCUCAACCCCGGCUCGGCCGUGCGGACUCUCGCGCUUGGUGAGUGCUGUAGAGGCGGGCGGAAUUCCGGGUGUAGCGGUGGAAUGCGUAGAGAUCCGGAAGAACACCGGUGGCGAAGGCGGCCCGCUGGGCAGUGACUGACGCUGAGGAGCGAAAGCAUGGGGAGCGAACAGG
rnacentral:rRNA from 1 species